rnacentral:rRNA from 1 species
UACGGAGGGUGCGAGCGUUGUCCGGAAUCACUGGGCGUAAAGGGCGCGUAGGUGGCUUCUCAAGCGCGCGGUGAAAGCCCGGGGCUCAACCCCGGGUCGGCCGUGCGGACUGGGAGGCUCGAGCACUGUAGGGGCGGGUGGAAUUCCGGGUGUAGCGGUGGAAUGCGUAGAUAUCUGGAGGAAUACCGGUGGCGAAGGCGGCAUCCUGGACCGAGAUUGACACUGAUGAGCGAAAGCUAGGGGAGCAAACGGG